rnacentral:rRNA from 1 species
GACGAACGCUGGCGGCGUGCUUAACACAUGCAAGUCGAACGGAAAGGCCCUGCUUUUGUGGGGUGCUCGAGUGGCGAACGGGUGAGUAACACGUGAGUAACCUGCCCUUGACUUUGGGAUAACUUCAGGAAACUGGGGCUAAUACCGGAUAGGAGCUCCUGCUGCAUGGUGGGGGUUGGAAAGUUUCGGCGGUUGGGGAUGGACUCGCGGCUUAUCAGCUUGUUGGUGGGGUAGUGGCUUACCAAGGCUUUGACGGGUAGCCGGCCUGAGAGGGUGACCGGACACAUUGGGACUGAGAUACGGCCCAGACUACUACGGGAGGCAGCAGUGGGGAAUAUUGCACAAUGGGCGGAAGCAUGAUGCAGCAACGCAGCGUGCGGGAUGACGGCCUUCGGGUUGUAAACCGCUUUCGCCUGUGACGAAGCGUGAGUGACGGUAAUGGGUAAAGAAGCACGGGCUAACUACGUG